rnacentral:rRNA from 1 species
AAGUCGAACGAAAUCUUCGGAUUUAGUGGCGCGCGGGUGAGUAACAUGUGGGAAUCUACCUGAAGGUUCGGAAUAACUGCGGGAAACUGUAGCUAAUACCGGAUGUGUCUGCAAAGAGAAAGAUUUAUCGCCUUCAGAUGAGCCCGCACUAGAUUAGCUAGAUGGUGAGGUAACUGCUCCACCAAGGCUACGAUCUAUAGCUGAUUUGAGAGGAUGAUCAGCCACACUGGGACUGAGACACGGCCCAGACUCCUACGGGAGGCAGCAGUAGGGAAUAUUGGACAAUGGGGGAAACCCUGAUCCAGCAAUGCCGCGUGAGUGAAGAAGGCCCUCGGGUUGUAAAGCUCUUUCAUCAAUGAUGAUAAUGACAUUAGUUGAAGAAGAAGCUCCGGCUAACUUCGUGCCAGCAGCCGCGGUAAUACGAAGGGGGCUAGCGUUGUUCGGAAUCACUGGGCGUAAAGCGUAUGUAGGCGGAUCAAAAAGUUAGAUGUGAAAUCCCUGGGCUCAACCCAGGAACUGCAUUUAAAACUAGUGAUCUAGAAUUUGGUAAGGGUUAGUAGAAUUUCCAGUGUAGAGGUGAAAUUCGUAGAUAUUGGAAAGAAUACCCAGAA